UACGUAGGGUGCGAGCGUUGUCCGGAAUUAUUGGGCGUAAAGAGCUCGUAGGCGGUGUGUCACGUCGGCCGUGAAAACCUGCAGCUUAACUGUGGGCGUGCGGUCGAUACGGGCAUCACUGGAGUUCGGCAGGGGAGACUGGAAUUCCUGGUGUAGCGGUGAAAUGCGCAGAUAUCAGGAGGAACACCAGUGGCGAAGGCGGCAUCCUGGACCGGUAUUGACGCUGAGGCGCGAAAGCUAGGGUAGCAAACGGG
rnacentral:rRNA from 1 species